rnacentral:rRNA from 1 species
UACAGAGGGUGCGAGCGUUAAUCGGAAUUACUGGGCGUAAAGCGCGCGUAGGCGGCUUUGCAAGUCGGGUGUGAAAUCCCCAGGCUUAACCUGGGAACUGCAUUCGAGACUGCAUUGCUAGAGUAUGGGAGAGGGAAGUGGAAUUUCCGGUGUAGCGGUGAAAUGCGUAGAUAUCGGAAGGAACAUCAGUGGCGAAAGCGGGCUACUGGGCUGAUACUGACGCUGAAUCGCGAAAGCUAGGGGAGCAAACGGG